rnacentral:siRNA from 1 species
ACGAAAUGAGCACACUCUGAUGG